ACUCUGUGUUUUUUUAUGACAAUUAUAAUUUGGUUUUUUGUUAUUCCAUGUAAAAUUGUUUGUUUCUAAGGUUAUUCGUCUUGUAACUGUUUGGUUUUCCCCUAAUUUUGAUUUAUUUAUUGUUGAACUUCUAUUUGUCCAUAUUUAUAAGCUCCAAGAUGCCUAAAUAGUUUGAAAAAAUGUCUUUAUGUAAAAUUACAAAAAACCAAGUCACAGAUUAUCAAACUGUUAAAAAGAAAAGAGCACAGGGCUUGAGCUGCAAUAAGGCUAAACCACAUGGGUUGAAUAUGUUGUUUGUGUUGAUAAUAAUAAUUGCUAUUAUUAUUAUUAUUGGAUUUCUUUAGUAAACAAGUUAAUGUGAUCAAAAAGGAGCAAACAUUUCUUUUAUAUUUCAACCGCAAGUGCCAUAUGAUUUCUAAGGGUUAUUUCAAUUCUCAAUGGUGCACACAAUGCAUGCCUUGGCUUACAGGGAGAAUGGAUGACAUUAAACCAUCUAAUUUGAUUUUAUUGGCUGUAUAUUUGAAAGAGAAUUCACUCUUCUAUUUAAUAUUCUUGUCUAUUAGAAUUCUUUGGUCAUUUUCAUUGGUUAAGGCAUUUGAUUAAAUUGUUACCAAACUGAUUCCUUUAAUUCACAUAUUCUUAUGAUCUGUCCCGUUCAAAAUUUUGUUACUGCCCCUUCCAAAUGGUUGAACAUCUCAGCUGAGUCAUGGGGAAUGGCUUUUUCUGGUCAAUUGAUAUUUGUUCAUAGAUAAAAGGCUUUACUUUGGAGGUUAGUGCUCCUUUUCUGCCUAUUUUUGGUCUUAUGACAUGUAGGUGUAACUGAAACUAGGUUGUAUCUUCUCUUCAUUGUAGUCAUUCCUUGUUGAUAUAAGUUAUAUAUAAAAUAUGUUAUACAAUACCUGAAACAUUUUUUGUUACCUUUUUCUGUGAUAAAGGGCGUAUGUAUUUCUCCUUUCAUUCUUCUCUUGAAGUUUAUUUGAUGUAUUAAAUUUUAAAUCUUAUUUUUUGUGAAGUUAUGGAACCUUUGGUUAAAACUUUUAUGGUAAUGACAGGGAGGAGCAGUCAGAUAUAGAUGUAACUGCUGGUUUUUAUGUCUUAUUUGGAUCAGGUAAAGUAUUAUGCUUAAUUUCUAGAUUACUCUAACAAGUUUGAUUCCACAAUCAAACUGGUCCAUCAGCCAAAAAAAAGAAAAGUCAAACUGAUCUUCAUAUGGAUUAGUGAAGAACCUUUCUUUCUUUGUGAUUUUCGAUGGCAAGUUCAAGAAUUUAGAUGUUUCUAUGUUGC
rnacentral:lncRNA from 1 species